rnacentral:tRNA from 1 species
UGGCUCAGAUGAUAAAGAAUCUGCCUGCAAUGCAGGAGACCCAGGUUCAAUUCCUGG